rnacentral:tRNA from 1 species
GCCUCUGUAGCAUGAAGGUCGUGCAAGGCUUUUGUAAAGCUUGGGUGUUAGUUCGAUUCUGACCAGAGGCACCA